CCUCCCAUCACACGUUUCUCUCUUCUUCCAUGAAAGCUUCUCUCAAGCUUCCAUCACUCUCCCAAACUAACCUCAAUUUUUGUGCUCUACACACCUUGUUGUAGGGUUUUUCAUACUCUUUUAUUCCCCCACCUUAAACAAACCCUUAAAAGUCUUUCUUCAAUACUUUCUCUCACUAGAUGAACUUUGUAGAGAAAGAAAGAGAGGUUUCAUGAUAGUUUGAGGACUCUUGGGACGAAAUUUCAUUACAAUCCACCAAGGUUUCCUGAGUUAAAGGUGAUUGAAUCCUAGGAUAAGGUGAUCCUCCCUAUCCAUUGCCCGGUAGGUACCAUGACAUUAAAUGUUAGCAACCGUGACCAGAGUCACUCCGCUGACGGUCAAGGCCUAAUUAUGUGUAUAUGAAUACUUGAGGUGAAAUACUAAGAUUCAUUUGUCAAGCUAUAUAUGUAUAUUAUGGUAGAUGAUGCCAUUAUGAAUGCAUAAUUGGGUUUUAUAAAUUGUUUUCAAAGGGACUAUAUUUGAACAUU